rnacentral:rRNA from 1 species
GACGAACGCUGGCGGCGUGCUUAACACAUGCAAGUCGAGCGGUAAGGCCCUUUCGGGGGUACACGAGCGGCGAACGGGUGAGUAACACGUGGGUGACCUGCCCUCAGCUCUGGGAUAAGCCUGGGGAACCGGGUCUAAUACUGGAUAUGACUCCAUGACGCAUGUUGUGGGGUGGAAAGCCUUGUGCGGCUGAGGAUGGGCCCGCGGCCUAUCAGCUUGUUGGUGGGGUGANGGCCUACCAAGGCGACGACGGGUAGCCGGCCUGAGAGGGCGACCGGCCACACUGGGACUGAGACACGGCCCAGACUCCUACGGGAGGCAGCAGUGGGGAAUCUUGCGCAAUGGGCGAAAGCCUGACGCAGCGACGCCGCGUGAGGGAUGACGGCC